UGGAGAGGUGGCAGAGUGGUUGAAUGCGGCGCACUCGAAAUGCGUUUUAGGGAAACCUAACGGGGGUUCGAAUCCCCCCCUCUCCGUC
rnacentral:tRNA from 1 species